AUACUUACAUGGCAGGGGAGAUACCAGGGCCAGGAAGGUAGCUUUCCCAGGGCAAGGCUUAGCUAUUGCAAUCUGGAUGUGCUGACCCCUGCAAUGUGGGACACUCAACUGCAUAAUUUGUGGUAGUGGUGGAAUCCUUUUGUGCUUUUCCCUG
rnacentral:snRNA from 1 species